rnacentral:rRNA from 1 species
UGGUGGAGUGAUUUGUCUGGUUAAUUUCGUUAACGAACGAGACCGCUGCCUGCUAAAUAGCUACGCAAGUGAAUUUCACUUGUGAGAGUUUCUUAGAGGUACGUGCAUUUUAUUAGAUGCAGGAAGAUAGCGGCAAUAACA